UAAGCUACCCCAACACAUUCACAUACAUCAGUCAGUUUCAAUCAUUUUGAAGAUCAUUUUUAUUCUGUUUCAUCAUCACCACAUUUAACCCAAUUGACUCAGUCACAUUCACAAACAUCUUCCACUGUUCAGUAUCAAGAAUUAGUGCCUCGUUCAGAGCCUGACAGCAUUCCGGAAUUAUCGCUGAGAUCGUACAUACAGGGAUACGAAACAGAUACAUAAGGGAAUGGUAUGAAUCAUCUGAAAUCAAAAAAUGUUUAAGUUUUGUUCUGGUUUUGUAUAAAAAAAUAAAAUAUUUUAGUUAUUUGUA